rnacentral:lncRNA from 1 species
AUAUCUGUAAUUUUCUUAGGCUGUCCGCAUGGUUUAAUGGAUGUAAAAUAUAGGGGAGAAGUAUACCUCAUUAAAUCAUCUUGCUUAAGCAAGAAGCUCAGCGAGAUUAUUGGUUCUGGAGACGUUCUCACGCUCGCAGAGCAGAUCGUGCUUUGGUCAGGGGGUUCUUUUAUUCUCACGCUUGCUUGUCUCAGAUCGAGGAUUGGUUGGGUGAUGGGAAGAAGACGGAAGGAUUCUUGCUUUUUGGGUGAUGCGAAGAAGAUGGGAGGGUUCCGGCUUGGGUGGGCGACGAAGGGACCGGAAGGCACUCGAUUUUUGUGGCAUGGCAUAUCCGAUUCGUUUGCUCGGCUCGAUGACGAUGGGGAAUAACUAGGGCUGUUAGAACAAGAGCUGAAUAUGCAUGGCAGUAUUAGCGGUAGAGUAAAUUAGGUGAUAAGUGUUGUUUUGUAGAAUAGUUCCCAUGUCUAGCUUAAUUUGGGGAUUAACAAACUAUCAUAGCUUUGGUAUUGUGUUUAAUUCUUUUUCAUUCGUAUCGGUAUACAUAGAUCUAUAUCGCUUGCACUGGUGGAGGGCAAAAUUUGUAGCAAGGGAAAAGGAGAAAAAUGGAUUGAGGAGGAGGAGAGGACUAAGGUGUGGUGCAUCUUCUUAGUAGAUUUGGCUUUUUCCAUCUCAAUCUUGCUGCCCUAGGUUUGCGGGAUGAUCAAGGUGAGGUGAAUCCACUUUAGCUCUGCUAAUUGAUUGUUUUAGAUGAUUCUUGGAGAUGAGGAUUAGUGGAUUUGUUAGGAAAAACACGGUUUGAGAUCGAUCUAAGGUGUGCUGUCCUGUAGCUCGGGCAGUGCUGCUGUCCUUAUAGUUUUGGCAACCUAAACAAUUUUUCCUCCGAAAGUGGACCAUACAAAAGUUGUAGACGUUUGUGAGAUCUAUCUGCUGUCAAAGUUUCACAUGUUUUUGGUGGAAUAUACCUUCAGUUAUUGAAUAUUGUUUGGACACUGUUUCUAAAUAUCCAGAUUUUGACAGCAGAUGUUCAGACAUAUAUUAGAUGAUCUUAAGGAUGGAAUUCGUGGAAACACAUAAUAAAAAAGUUGUAGGUUGCCCAGAGAUGUAUGUCCUGACAAACUUUUAGAAUUUUUGGACAAG